rnacentral:rRNA from 1 species
GAUGAACGCUGGCGGCGUGCCUAAUACAUGCAAGUCGAGCGAACGGACGAGAAGCUUGCUUCUCUGAUGUUAGCGGCGGACGGGUGAGUAACACGUGGAGAACCUACCUAUAAGACUGGGAUAACUUCGGGAAACCGGAGCUAAUACCGGAUAAUAUUUUGAACCGCAUGGUUCAAAAGUGAAAGACGGUCUUGCUGUCACUUAUAGAUGGAUCCGCGCUGCAUUAGCUAGUUGGUAAGGUAACGGCUUACCAAGGCAACGAUGCAUAGCCGACCUGAGAGGGUGAUCGGCCACACUGGAACUGACACACGGUCCAGACUCCUACGAGAGGCAGCAGUAGGGAAUCUUCCGCAAUGGGCGAAAGCCUGACGGAGCCACGCCGCGUGAGUGAUGACGGUCUUCGGAUCGUAAAACUCUGUUAUUAGGGAAGAACAUAUGUGUAAGUAACUGUGCACAUCUUGACGGUACCUAAUCAGAAAGCCACGGCUAACUACGU